rnacentral:miRNA from 14 species
AAAAAUGGAGUGAGGAAAGGAGAGACAGAGAAGGAGGGAAGGGAUUUUAUGGAAUAAUUAUAUCCAAUCUCCUGAUUACAAAAUUUUCAUUACUAUUGCUAGUAUAAAAUAUGCCAUGUGCAUGUGAAUUACUUUU